GCUCGAGUGGCGAACGGGUGAGUAACACGUGAGUAACCUGCCCUUGACUUUGGGAUAACUUCAGGAAACUGGGGCUAAUACCGGAUAGGAGCUCCUGCUGCAUGGUGGGGUUGGAAAGUUUCGGCGGUUGGGGAUGGACUCGCGGCUUAUCAGCUUGUUGGUGGGGUAGUGGCUUACCAAGGCUUUGACGGGUAGCCGGCCUGAGAGGGUGACCGGCCACAUUGGGACUGAGAUACGGCCCAG
rnacentral:rRNA from 1 species